GGUUAAGUGACUAAGCGUACACGGUGGAUGCCUAGGCAGUCAGAGGCGAUGAAGGGCGUGCUAAUCUGCGAAAAGCGUCGGUAAGGUGAUAUGAACCGUUAUAACCGGCGAUACCCGAAUGGGGAAACCCAGUGUGUUUCGACACACUAUCAUGUCAUGAAUACAUAGUGGCAUGAGGCGAACCGGGGGAACUGAAACAUCUAAGUACCCCGAGGAAAAGAAAUCAACCGAGAUUCCCCCAGUAGCGGCGAGCGAACGGGGAGAAGCCCAGAACCUGAAUCGGCUUGUGUGUUAGUGGAAGCGUCUGGAAAGUCGCGCAGCAAAGGGUGAUAGCCCCGUACACUAAAAUGCACAGGUCGUGAGUUCGAUGAGUAGGGCGGGACACGUGACAUCCUGUCUGAAUAUGGGGGGACCAUCCUCCAAGGCUAAAUACUCCUGACUGACCGAUAGUGAACCAGUACCGUGAGGGAAAGGCGAAAAGAACCCCGGCGAGGGGAGUGAAAUAGAACCUGAAACCGUGUACGUACAAGCAGUGGGAGCACCUUCGUGGUGUGACUGCGUACCUUUUGUAUAAUGGGUCAGCGACUUAUAUUUUGUAGCAAGGUUAACCGUAUAGGGGAGCCGUAGGGAAACCGAGUCUUAACUGGGCGAAUAGUUGCAAGGUAUAGACCCGAAACCCGGUGAUCUAGCCAUGGGCAGGUUGAAGGUUGGGUAACACUAACUGGAGGACCGAACCGACUAAUGUUGAAAAAUUAGCGGAUGACUUGUGGCUGGGGGUGAAAGGCCAAUCAAACCGGGAGAUAGCUGGUUCUCCCCGAAAGCUAUUUAGGUAGCGCCUCGUGAACUCAUCUUCGGGGGUAGAGCACUGUUUCGGCUAGGGGGCCAUCCCGGCUUACCAAACCGAUGCAAACUCCGAAUACCGAAGAAUGUUAUCACGGGAGACACACGGCGGGUGCUAACGUCCGUCGUGAAGAGGGAAACAACCCAGACCGCCAGCUAAGGUCCCAAAGUCAUGGUUAAGUGGGAAACGAUGUGGGAAGGCAUAGACAGCCAGGAUGUUGGCUUAGAAGCAGCCAUCAUUUAAAGAAAGCGUAAUAGCUCACUGGUCGAGUCGGCCUGCGCGGAAGAUGUAACGGGGCUAAACCAUGCACCGAAGCUGCGGCAGCGACGCUUAGGCGUUGUUGGGUAGGGGAGCGUUCUGUAAGCCGUUGAAGGUGGCCUGUGAGGGUUGCUGGAGGUAUCAGAAGUGCGAAUGCUGACAUAAGUAACGAUAAAGCGGGUGAAAAGCCCGCUCGCCGGAAGACCAAGGGUUCCUGUCCAACGUUAAUCGGGGCAGGGUGAGUCGACCCCUAAGGCGAGGCUGAAAAGCGUAGUCGAUGGGAAACAGGUUAAUAUUCCUGUACUUGGUGUUACUGCGAAGGGGGGACGGAGAAGGCUAGGCUGGCCGGGCGACGGUUGUCCCGGUUUAAGCGUGUAGGGGGUGUGACCUGGUAAAUCCGGUUGCAUAUCAACCCUGAGGCGUGAUGACGAUGCACUACGGUGCAGAAGUAGUUGAUGCCCUGCUUCCAGGAAAAUCCUCUAAGCUCCAGGUAACAUUAAAUCGUACCCCAAACCGACACAGGUGGUCAGGUAGAGAAUACCAAGGCGCUUGAGAGAACUCGGGUGAAGGAACUAGGCAAAAUGGUGCCGUAACUUCGGGAGAAGGCACGCUGGCAUGUAGGUGAAGUCCCUUGCGGAUGGAGCUGAAGCCAGUCGAAGAUACCAGCUGGCUGCAACUGUUUAAUAAAAACACAGCACUGUGCAAACACGAAAGUGGACGUAUACGGUGUGACGCCUGCCCGGUGCUGGAAGGUUAAUUGAUGGGGUCAGCCGCAAGGCGAAGCUCUUGAUCGAAGCCCCAGUAAACGGCGGCCGUAACUAUAACGGUCCUAAGGUAGCGAAAUUCCUUGUCGGGUAAGUUCCGACCUGCACGAAUGGCGUAAUGAUGGCCAGGCUGUCUCCACCCGAGACUCAGUGAAAUUGAACUCGCUGUGAAGAUGCAGUGUACCCGCGGCAAGACGGAAAGACCCCGUGAACCUUUACUAUAGCUUGACACUGAACAUUGAGCCUUGAUGUGUAGGAUAGGUGGGAGGCUUUGAAGCGUGGACGCCAGUCUGCGUGGAGCCAUCCUUGAAAUACCACCCUUUAAUGUUUGAUGUUCUAACUCGGCCCCAUAAUCUGGGGUGAGGACAGUGUCUGGUGGGUAGUUUGACUGGGGCGGUCUCCUCCCAAAGAGUAACGGAGGAGCACGAAGGUUAGCUAAUCACGGUCGGACAUCGUGAGGUUAGUGCAAAGGCAUAAGCUAGCUUGACUGCGAGAGUGACGGCUCGAGCAGGUACGAAAGUAGGUCUUAGUGAUCCGGUGGUUCUGAAUGGAAGGGCCAUCGCUCAACGGAUAAAAGGUACUCCGGGGAUAACAGGCUGAUACCGCCCAAGAGUUCAUAUCGACGGCGGUGUUUGGCACCUCGAUGUCGGCUCAUCACAUCCUGGGGCUGAAGUAGGUCCCAAGGGUAUGGCUGUUCGCCAUUUAAAGUGGUACGCGAGCUGGGUUUAGAACGUCGUGAGACAGUUCGGUCCCUAUCUGCCGUGGGCGUUGGAAGAUUGAGAGGGGUUGCUCCUAGUACGAGAGGACCGGAGUGAACGCACCACUGGUGUUCGGGUUGUCAUGCCAAUGGCAUUGCCCGGUAGCUAAGUGCGGAAAAGAUAAGCGCUGAAAGCAUCUAAGCGCGAAACUUGCCUCAAGAUGAGUCUUCCCUGGGCCUUUAAGGCCCCUGAAGGAACGUUUAAGACUAAGACGUUGAUAGGCUGGGUGUGUAAGUGCAGCGAUGCAUUGAGCUAACCAGUACUAAUGAUCCGUGAGGCUUAACCUU
rnacentral:rRNA from 1 species